rnacentral:rRNA from 1 species
UGGGGGAUAUUGCACAAUGGGGGGAACCCUGAUGCAGCGACGCCGCGUGGGUGAAGGAGUGCUCCGGCACGUAAAGCCCUAUCAGCAGGGAAGAAAGGAAUGACAGUACCUGACUAAGAAGCCCCGGCUAACUACGUGCCAGCAGCCGCGGUAAUACGUAGGGGGCAAGCGUUAUCCGGAUUUACUGGGUGUAAAGGGAGCGCAGGCGGCCGUGCAAGUCAGGAGUGAAAUACCGGGGCCCAACCCCGGGGCUGCUCUUGAGACUGCGUGGCUGGAGUGUCGGAGGGGCAGGCGGAAUUCCUAGUGUAGCGGUGAAAUGCGUAGAUAUUAGGAGGAACACCAGUGGCGGAGGCGGCCUGCUGGACGACGACUGACGCUGAGGCUCGAAAGCGUGGGGAGCAAACAGG